rnacentral:rRNA from 1 species
GGGGAAUAUUGCACAAUGGGCGCAAGCCUGAUGCAGCCAUGCCGCGUGUGUGAAGAAGGCCUUCGGGUUGUAAAGCACUUUCAGUCGUGAGGAAGGUAGUGUAGUUAAUAGCUGCAUUAUUUGACGUUAGCGACAGAAGAAGCACCGGCUAACUCCGUGCCAGCAGCCGCGGUAAUACGGAGGGUGCGAGCGUUAAUCGGAAUUACUGGGCGUAAAGCGCAUGCAGGUGGUUUGUUAAGUCAGAUGUGAAAGCCCGGGGCUCAACCUCGGAAUAGCAUUUGAAACUGGCAGACUAGAGUACUGUAGAGGGGGGUAGAAUUUCAGGUGUAGCGGUGAAAUGCGUAGAGAUCUGAAGGAAUACCGGUGGCGAAGGCGGCCCCCUGGACAGAUACUGACACUCAGGUGCGAAAGCGUGGGGAGCAAAC